rnacentral:rRNA from 1 species
UACGUAGGGGGGCAAGCGUUGUCCGGAAUCAUUGGGCGUAAAGAGCGCGUAGGCGGCCCCGUAAGUCCGCUGUGAAAGUCAAGGGCUCAACCCUUGGAUGCCGGUGGAUACUGCAGGGCUAGAGUCCGGAAGAGGCGAGUGGAAUUCCUGGUGUAGCGGUGAAAUGCGCAGAUAUCAGGAGGAACACCGAUGGCGAAGGCAGCUCGCUGGGACGGUACUGACGCUGAGGCGCGAAAGCGUGGGGAGCAAACAGG